UGAUUCGCUUAAAAAAAAGACCACUGGAGUUGAACAUCUAAGGUGGAAUGCCCUGGAGGUCUUACAAUGCAUGUAAGACGUAAAUAUGUCGUGCCAAACCUCCAAGUACCUCACAAGACUGCAGCUAAGCGAGAAUAUAGGUACGGAUGCAGGGCAUUGUGUGCUGGAACCUCCGCCAUUCGAUCAAUCUAGGGAAAACGAUCAGACCCGCAUGGUCGGCUUUGAUCGAAAGCACCACCGUCUUGGUCCGGCAGUCACUCGCACACGUGGUGGCAACGAAGGACAAAGGAAAAGGAAGGGGGAGGGGGGUUGGCCGAAGCCACCCCGUAGCUGGAGAGAUGUUAGCAAGGAAGAACCGCAGCGAAGCAAGACACCAGAGAGAAAGAAGAGGCGGGAGUCAAAGGUUAAAUACCCAGGGGGCGUGUCUAAGGGAUGGAGAAACUACAGAAGACCUCCUGGUGAGUCCUGCCAAUCCAUGUCAACUAAUCUAUACUUCAUUUUCAACUUUUGACCGUUUAUGUUUAAGUGAGAAACUAUCGCCCCCAACUGGGGGAGGUGUAACUUUUAUGCAACACUUUACAGACAUUAUGCAGGGAAUACCACUAGCUCUGGGAGACUUGAAAGCAAUUGUGGGAACUAAAUUUACCUAUCAGGAGUUGCAAACACUGGAGGGGAUCGCCCGCCCGUCCGUGAAUUGAAGGUCACCAGUGGUCAUUAUGUUCUGACUAUUUGUAUGUCAUUUCAACUGCCAUUGCCUCACGUUUGUCUUACGCAGGAGCAGGGGGACUGGUACGAAAUGGGGGACAUGGCGGUACCACACAUCAUUGGCGAUAGGAGCUCAUCAUCAGGCAAAAGAUUUGGGCUCCGAAAUUUCUCAGUGCGUAAAAGCCACUGAUUGGGUCCAGACCGCCAUUAUUGAUGUUGCAUUUUCAUCCACUAUGUUAGCAUAUCGAAUUUCGGCUUAUGUUACAAAUUCUUAAAUUUUAGAAUACCACCAAAUUUCACGAGAUUACUUUAGGGAGCGGAUGGUUCACCACGACGCUGAAAGACUUCUGGCGCAGUUGUUUGAGGCACUGUGGACUCAGGGCCCAACUGAUGUUGCCUACUGCUCCACUGUGCCUCCCAUUACUUUUUGUGUCUCAUCUCCAAACCCCAUCAUGUAGAACCAGUAUCGACGCACCCCGUAGGUUACCUGAGGUAAACAAAACAUCCCGACGCACUAACAGUAGCGAAGGCGUUAUGUAAAGACAUUAUACCGCUUGGCCCUUGACAUGAUCCUUGCCGAAAAGAAUGGUGUUUGGUGCAAUGUUGUACUUUUAUUCCCAACAACACAGCCCCGGAUGGAAAAGUAACGAGAGCCCUACAUGGGUUACAAACUUUGGCUGCUGAAAUGGCAGAUUCAACAGGCGUUUCCAACCCCCUGGAAGAUUGGGCUACGACGUGGUUUGGAAAAUGGAAACACCUUGUAAUUACAUUCAUAAUUGCUAAUGUUACUGCUGUUACUUUGUUAUUGCUUUUCGGAUGCUGUAUUAUUCCAUGUAUGAGGACACUGUGUGUCAAGAUGCUCACGGGUGUGGUGGGAAAGAAUAUCAACCAGCUGGAAUCACAGAUGUUGAUGACAUCCGAAGGAGCUCCUACUCCUGAAGUUCUGCUCACACAAGACGACGUCGUGUCCAGAUGGAUGAAUUAUUGAUGAAGAAUAUACAGUGUCUUUUCUCUUAGCAUGUUACGGGACUUGUCUUUUUCCCUCCUCAAAUCAAUAUAUGGGGAGGUUUUUGCCUGUCUCAAGAGUAGUACUGCCUUAUGAAGAAUGCUUAGCUCAUGACUACAUUAUUUAUAUAUCCUCUUAUAGUCUUCCACAUAGAGUAGUACUGCUUAGGGUAUGUUACAUAGUUCCACUAUGUAAACAGGGGAAUUGUUGGAUUGUUCUAUUUGUACUCAUGAAGCUAUGUUCCUUUCUUUAACAAUUAAGUUCCAUUUCCAAAACAUCCAAGGCCAGAGGGGUGCCCACAUCUUAGGAUGACUCCCUUUUCUUCUUUAUAGCACCCGAGGUAGAUUACUGAAGAAUGAUGUUCUUAGGAUGACUCCCUUUUCUGAUAACACCCAAGGCCAGAGGUACCUUCUGCUAAACAUAUAUCAAAACCUUCUCCCAGGCAGAUCCAACUUACAUAGAUGCAAUUGGAAUUCCAAGAGGGGUACCUGAUGAAUACAAAUUAGUAGAUCAAGUAGCAUCAGGGUUUGAAUCUACAAUCUGUUGGUGGUGUACAACCAAUAAAAACGUAGACCGAAUAAACUACAUCCACUACAAUGUACAGCGGUUAAGAAAUUGGACAUAGGACGGUUUUGAGGCCGUACAUGAGCAAUUGGCAGCCACAUCUUUAAUAUAAUUUCAGAACAGAAUUGCACUAGAUAUGUUGCUUGCGGAGAGAGGAGGAGUGUGUGCCAUGUUUGGAGAACAGUGCUGUACGUUUAUUACAAAUAACACCGCAGCAGACGGCAGCCUGACUAGGGCCAUUGAUGGCCUGCGCACCCUCAACCGCAAGACGAAAGAACAUUCUGGCGUGGACACAUCCAUGUGGGACGAAUAGAUGAAAGUGUUUGGCAAGUAUAAGAUGUUGGUCUCAUCAAUUUUAAUAUCAAUAGCAGUAUUUGCUGCAAUACUGACAUUGUGUGGAUGUUGCUGUAUUCCAUGUUUACGAGCACUUCUGAAUAGAUUAAUCACCACCGCAAUCCAACCUAUGAGCAAUCGUGCAGAACAAAUGUACCCCCUUCUAACAAAACAGAACCAGGAUAGUUCUGAUGACGAUGAUGAUAGUGAAAUGGAGAUCGGAACAUUAUUUGAUUCAGCUGAGGAGAUCAAAUAAAUCAUUUCAUGUCUUGUGUUCAUGAUAAUGAUCUUACAGCCAAAAAUCAGAAGAAGCGGCUGCUAAAUAAGUGAUGUGAAACAUGAGCAAAAAUGAUAAACAGGAGGGAAAUGAUAGAAAAAUGUAAAUAAGUUAUCAUGUGUUGUGCUUUUCUGCUUACUUCUAGUUAGAGAAAUGUUUUAUCACUGCGUGCAAAGCUUUUUCCCACAGGAUGAGUCAUGUGCUUGCAGGUGCAAGGACAAACUUGAGCCAAGGAGUUUCCUGUUUCUUGAUAAGAAGCAUAUAACCCCUCUACUGUCUCGACCACAACAAAAAGUGUUAUGUGCUGAUCACAUGAGUUGCAACAAGCAUGUAUGCCCCCACCUUUUAGACGUUGCAACUCGUAUGUAACAAGGGAACUGCCCUAAGGAAAUAAAAAGAGAGGGUUCGGCAGAGUGAACUUAGAACGGGUUGGAGAUUGUAAUUCAGUACACUCUCGUCCGUCCUCGUUGCAAGUCUGAAAACUGUACUGCCUCUGUGUCCGUCUUGUUUUUACAAAUGUUCUAGGUGUCUUGAACCUGACAUGAGGUCAAGAGAGGGAGUUGUAAGGAUUAGGCAAAUAUUUUAGCUAAAGAAAUAAAUGUAAAAAUAUAAUAUUCCAGUUAUUCAAAUAACCAUAACAGCUAACAUUGCAAAAAAAACUAGCUAACAUUGUGUGCAAGAAGGAGAAGUACUCUCAUAUGAUUUUUGGCCAUAAACAUAUAUGUUUUGUCAAUAUGCUGCCAAGUGUAUUUUUUAUCUUGUUUGUCACAGAAGGGCGGGAGUCGCAGGAGGUCUCAGAUGUUGCAAAAAGUGGCCCCAGGUGACAGCUGAUGAACUGAAAACAAGUCAGGCUCUUGACAACACCAGCAAGAGUACCUGCGUCACCUGCUCUCGGGUGGCGCUUAUCACCAACAGCCAGAUGGGGCGUGGGCACAGCAGCAACAUCAUGAAGUGUCAAAGCAUAAACUAUAAAUGUAAUGGCUAUGAGGGAGAGGCGUUCUUUUCCCCUGUCUACUAGUGACGGGACUUUUGGACAGGGAAAAACGGCCCUGGAAUUCCAUGUGUCUGUGACGUAAUCAUACUGAGCUCUGGGACAUAAAUACGGAGCAAAUUGCAACGAGUGUGUGUUCAUUCUUUGGUCAUCUUUCAUUGGAAAAGCAACGAAUAUGCAGCGGGAGUUGUGGAGAUACGUUGUUCAAUAAGGGUAUGGAAUAAAUGCACACUUCCAACAGGGGUUGCUAUGACAACCGGGCCAUAGUCACUACUGAAGGGAAUAUAGAAUACUUUAUAUUCUAAUAUGUAAUUCUAUAUGUAAUAUAAUAUAAUAUAGAGUUUCAUGGUGUAACUAGUUUGGAAGGUAAGCAAGGAUGUGUAUUGCAGUAUAAUCAGAUAAGGGGGUAGGAGUUUAUUGCAGGAAAGCCCCCCCAUCAGGGUGUAUUUGGAGACAAUAAAAAAACAGAUGUCAAAGAAGAAAAGGACUGCGGGGAGCCACUAUAAACAUUGAAUUCAGGAAUGUGGGCCGGAGUCUGAAGGCGACAUCUGGAGCCAGAUUAAAUGGUCAUCAUUCUGCCGAGCAACGAUGAUGUCAGAUUAGACCACGGACCAAUCAGACGACAGCGAUACCAUACUUUCCCGUUUGAAACAUUGUAUAAGUCUGGGGUAGAAUCAGUUUUUUGUUCGACUACUCUACCUGCUAAAGAUAAGAUAGGGAUAGUUACGAACCCAGAGCUCUGCAAAAUGUAUAGACUCCUCUGUCAGGAAUAAAUUUGUUGUUUUUUAUGCAUUGUUGUGAACGUAGUUCUUUCACGAAAACAAGCACGCUGGGAACCACGAGAGAAAUAGGAGAUUUUAAACACAGGUUCCUUCAAAUGGUGACCCUGAUGUGAUCCUGGAAGAACAUUAGAUAAAAAGAAAGAGGAGCAGACAGGAAUUCAGUUGGACUGCAAAUCCCCCCGGUGCACCGAAAUAAAAAAGGUGAGCAGAAGCCUGAUUGAUUAUAUCACGAAUUCUGCAGAUUGUAAAUUGCGAAAUUUGGGAGACUUGUGGUACAGUUGUUUUGUUGUCAAUAGUUAAUAAGACGUUGUGUUGUUAAAAUUGCAUAAUCAGAAGUCAGGGUAACAGAGGACCUGACGUCAGGGUAACAAGGUACCUGACAAACCAGGAUAAUAGAAAAUCCUGGGAGAAGGGUAACAAGGUACCUACUUGUCCCGUCGUAGACUGACUUGAAAUCGGACGCGGUUUCAAAUUGUAACGUUUCGGUAGAGCUUGGGGAUUUUGGGACCCCCAAAAACCGAUGUAGAAUAAGAUGAGUGUGCCACCAAAACUCGGGGUUGUGAAUUGGACAGUCGAGUGUAGAGGUAAUGAAUGUGAUAUGUGUCGGAGUGAUUACCAGAAGUCAUUGGAGGAUUUGUGGAUUGAAAUAGAAAGUCAGAAAAAGAAACAAGCAGGAUUAAGAAGUGUGUGGGAAAAGUGGAAAAGAAAAAGGAAUGUAAGUUGUUUCACGUAACAGAGAGGUUGUUCUGAAAGGGAAAAAAGAUGAAGGAAAAGUUGGAUGCUGCAGGGUGGAGAGAGAAAAGAGAUUUGAAUAAGAAAAUAGAAGAGAAUGAAAAAUCGAGGAGAAAAAUUAAUGACAUUUGUCUGGUGUGCCCUGCCAUGGCAGCUGUUCAGCGGGAAAAAAAAGAGCGACAAAUUCCCCCGCUGAAUACAAUUUACGGACCUUCCCGAAAACGGCCCCAGUGACGUUCCUAUAUGCCGGUCAAGGGAGCUGCUCUAAUGACAGACCAACUGUAGAGGGGAAAUAAAACUCCUAUCAAUUCCGUACGAGCCCGCAUUCAAAAAGGUGGGUAAAUAUACAAAAAUUGUCCUUAAAAGAUUUUGAGUUUUUUACAGAAACGGCUGCCCGGACUGGCUGCUGUUGGUGUAAUUUGGAUCCAGGGGCUGAAAAAGUUGACGGACAACAUGAGCCUGGCGUGUGCUGACGUAUGUUUGCGGUCAUCCGUGACAUGCUCCCGCUCUCCGAGCCGACGAGACGAGGCACCCGGACUACAAAACUAUCAUGGAUCCCAGUUCUCACUUUGAAAAUUGCACAAGUAUUUGGACAGAUAAGACAAGGUCACAUCCCUCCCAUUUAAGGGAGGCAAAUGUUAUUUAUAGAAUUGCUUUGCUUGACAGAUUGCCAGCUGAAGUUAGGACUGAACUUUUAAAGACCCUGACCUCAUGAAAGGGGGAGAUGCUACUUUAAUUGUCAUGUGUCACACCAUUUGAAACUUUUUGUCGACAGACAACACAAAUCAUCAGAUGAGGUAAAGGACAUGCACGAACAACUUUUGAAGCUACAAUUGGCCCAGGCCCGUAAAGUGGCCAUUAAAAAAAUAAAUAAAUAAAAAAUAAAAAUGGAAACAGAAAAGCAGAUGUGGAUGGCGCAGGGGUCAACGAGGAGACGAGGCGGGAGUUGUGACAGGGGAUACACCAACGGAGGCAGGGGAAGCGCUCGCCGACCUCCAACGGACCAAGCGUGCUUCAAUUGUGGUCAGUAUGGACACUGGUAUCGCCAAUGUACUGUUUCCCCAAUGAUUCAACAGCGACCUCCAGUGGAACCCGGAGGGGCCACACCUCAAAGAGGAGGCUACAAAGCUCCACGAGGGAGAGGUUGACGCGGCCCCGCACCCUGACAACAGCAUCCGCAGCAGGCUCCACAGCAACAAGAGCCAUCUCGCCAGUACUACUGCGAUGAGGACUGGUCCGAAUGCCCAAUGAGCCCGGAGCCAGCAGACGGAGGAAAGACAGAGCCUCUUAACCCCGCUAAGGGAAGACGACCACCUGAAUGAGCUGUGCAGGAGUGCCCAUGAGUCUGCCGAUUACGACACCAUUAAAGACUGAAAUUGCUGGACAGACACAUGAACAUCAGUUUGUCCUCAUGAAAGGAGGGGCUCCAGUGAAUCUGAUGGGCAGAGAUCUGCUUAUCUAAACCAGGGCUACCAUCCUUUGUAGCCCGGACGGACUGACGAUAUGAACUGAGAGGGGAAAAUUGUCCACUGCAUGGAACUUCCGGAAGCGACCGCUGCAGAAACCAAGUGAAACACUUUUUCACUUGCACUAGGUCAUGAAGCCUGAGAACUGGGACCGAUGGGUGCCACGGUAGACGGGGAAUGUUGGAGCAUGUGACUUUGGCACGAUUCCAUGGCAGAGAGCUCUCGGACCAUGAGGACGGCGCACAGCUGUUGAACUCGCUGCCGGACUUACUGUGGUCCGAGGGGCCUGCAGAUGGCAUCCGUGACUCCGGUAACAUUCGAGAUGAUAUGGUUCUGUUGGCUUCAUCAAGCCACAAUCUUCAACUCACGCCGGACUGGUUCACAGCCAAGUGUGAAGCGGUGAAGCCCAAGUGGAGGAAUUCUAUAGUAUCUUGUUCACAAGUGAGGGAAGAAUGAAGCAGGAUAUCGACAGGAAAAUUGGUGCAGCAUCUGCAGUAAGGGGGACUCUGCAUCGGUCUGUCAUCUGUCAAGAAUGAGCUGAGCUGAAAGGCAAAGCUCUCAAUUUACAGGUCGAUCUGCGUUCCCACCCUCAGCUAUGGCCAUAAGUUGUGAGUUGUGACCAAAAGAACAAAAUCACAGAUACAAGCAGCCGAAAUGAGUUUCCUCCUCAGGGUGGUCUCCCUCAGAGAUAGGCUGAGAAGCUGGGUCAUCCAGGAAGGGUUCAGUGUAGAGCAGCUAAUCCGCCACAUUGAGAGGAUCCAGAUGAGGAGGCUUGGGCAUUUGGUUAGGAUGCCUCCUAAACGCCUCCACGGUGAGGGGUUCCUGCACAAGACCCAGGAGACACUGGAGUGACUAAAGGCCUCUUUAUACUCCCGCGCCCGCAUUGCAUCACAUGACCAACGCAUUUGGCCGCGCUGCCCCUAUGCGGCACUUGACGCGCACCUGUCACUCUCCCCGUGUCUGGCAUCGGGAGUCUGAAACGAAUUUCGACGGGGUACAGACAUCUACUGGUCUGUUGCCUGUGCCAAGCAGCUCUCAGUCCAGCACCCCUCAGGCCAACGGUCCUCACCUCAGCAGCCCUCAGCCCAGCAGCUCAGCAGGCACAACUGGCCAGCAGCCACAUCCUGCAUCU